rnacentral:rRNA from 1 species
CAGUCGAGGGGUAUAGUUCUUCGGAAUUAGAGACCGGCGCACGGGUGCGUAACGCGUAUGCAAUCUACCUUUCACAGAGGGAUAGCCCAGAGAAAUUUGGAUUAAUACCUCAUAGUAUAGUGAUACCGCAUGGUACUACUAUUAAAGUCACAACGGUGAAAGAUGAGCAUGCGUCCCAUUAGCUUGUUGGUAAGGUAACGGCUUACCAAGGCUACGAUGGGUAGGGGUCCUGAGAGGGAGAUCCCCCACACUGGUACUGAGACACGGACCAGACUCCUACGGGAGGCAGCAGUGAGGAAUAUUGGACAAUGGGCGCAAGCCUGAUCCAGCCAUGCCGCGUGCAGGAUGACGGUCCUAUGGAUUGUAAACUGCUUUUGCACAGGAAGAAACAACUCUACGUGUAGAGUCUUGACGGUACUGUGAGAAUAAGGAUCGGCUAACUCCGUGCCAGCAGCCGCGGUAAUACGGAGGAUCCAAGCGUUAUCCGGAAUCAUUGGGUUUAAAGGGUCCGUAGGCGGUUUGGUAAGUCAGUGGUGAAAGCCCAUCGCUCAACGGUGGAACGGCCAUUGAUACUGCCAGACUUGAAUUAUUAGGAAGUAACUAGAAUAUGUAGUGUAGCGGUGAAAUGCUUAGAGAUUACAUGGAAUACCAAUUGCGAAGGCAGGUUACUACUAAUGGAUUGACGCUGAUGGACGAAAGCGUGGGUAGCGAACAGGAUUAGAUACCCUGGUAGUCCACGCCGUAAACGAUGGAUACUAGCUGUUGGGAGCGAUCUCAGUGGCUAAGCGAAAGUGAUAAGUAUCCCACCUGGGGAGUACGUUUCGCAGAAUGAAAC